GAACCAGUACCGUGAGGGAAAGGCGAAAAGAACCCCGGCGAGGGGAGUGAAAAAGAACCUGAAACCGUGUACGUACAAGCAGUGGGAGCACGCUUAGGCGUGUGACUGCGUACCUUUUGUAUAAUGGGUCAGCGACUUAUAUUCUGUAGCAAGGUUAACCGAAUAGGGGAGCCGAAGGGAAACCGAGUCUUAACUGGGCGUUAAGUUGCAGGGUAUAGACCCGAAACCCGGUGAUCUAGCCAUGGGCAGGUUGAAGGUUGGGUAACACUAACUGGAGGACCGAACCGACUAAUGUUGAAAAAUUAGCGGAUGACUUGUGGCUGGGGGUGAAAGGCCAAUCAAACCGGGAGAUAGCUGGUUCUCCCCGAAAGCUAUUUAGGUAGCGCCUCGUGAAUUCAUCUCCGGGGGUAGAGCACUGUUUCGGCAAGGGGGUCAUCCCGACUUACCAACCCGAUGCAAACUGCGAAUACCGGAGAAUGUUAUCACGGGAGACACACGGCGGGUGCUAACGUCCGUCGUGAAGAGGGAAACAACCCAGACCGCCAGCUAAGGUCCCAAAGUCAUGGUUAAGUGGGAAACGAUGUGGGAAGGCCCAGACAGCCAGGAUGUUGGCUUAGAAGCAGCCAUCAUUUAAAGAAAGCGUAAUAGCUCACUGGUCGAGUCGGCCUGCGCGGAAGAUGUAACGGGGCUAAACCAUGCACCGAAGCUGCGGCAGCGACACUAUGUGUUGUUGGGUAGGGGAGCGUUCUGUAAGCCUGUGAAGGUGUGCUGUGAGGCAUGCUGGAGGUAUCAGAAGUGCGAAUGCUGACAUAAGUAACGAUAAAGCGGGUGAAAAGCCCGCUCGCCGGAAGACCAAGGGUUCCUGUCCAACGUUAAUCGGGGCAGGGUGAGUCGACCCCUAAGGCGAGGCCGAAAGGCGUAGUCGAUGGGAAACAGGUUAAUAUUCCUGUACUUGGUGUUACUGCGAAGGGGGGACGGAGAAGGCUAUGUUGGCCGGGCGACGGUUGUCCCGGUUUAAGCGUGUAGGCUGGUUUUCCAGGCAAAUCCGGAAAAUCAAGGCUGAGGCGUGAUGACGAGGCACUACGGUGCUGAAGCAACAAAUGCCCUGCUUCCAGGAAAAGCCUCUAAGCAUCAGGUAACAUCAAAUCGUACCCCAAACCGACACAGGUGGUCAGGUAGAGAAUACCAAGGCGCUUGAGAGAACUCGGGUGAAGGAACUAGGCAAAAUGGUGCCGUAACUUCGGGAGAAGGCACGCUGAUAUGUAGGUGAAGUCCCUCGCGGAUGGAGCUGAAAUCAGUCGAAGAUACCAGCUGGCUGCAACUGUUUAUUAAAAACACAGCACUGUGCAAACACGAAAGUGGACGUAUACGGUGUGACGCCUGCCCGGUGCCGGAAGGUUAAUUGAUGGGGUUAGCCGCAAGGCGAAGCUCUUGAUCGAAGCCCCGGUAAACGGCGGCCGUAACUAUAACGGUCCUAAGGUAGCGAAAUUCCUUGUCGGGUAAGUUCCGACCUGCACGAAUGGCGUAAUGAUGGCCAGGCUGUCUCCACCCGAGACUCAGUGAAAUUGAACUCGCUGUGAAGAUGCAGUGUACCCGCGGCAAGACGGAAAGACCCCGUGAACCUUUACUAUAGCUUGACACUGAACAUUGAGCCUUGAUGUGUAGGAUAGGUGGGAGGCUUUGAAGUGUGGACGCCAGUCUGCAUGGAGCCGACCUUGAAAUACCACCCUUUAAUGUUUGAUGUUCUAACGUUGACCCGUAAUCCGGGUUGCGGACAGUGUCUGGUGGGUAGUUUGACUGGGGCGGUCUCCUCCUAAAGAGUAACGGAGGAGCACGAAGGUUGGCUAAUCCUGGUCGGACAUCAGGAGGUUAGUGCAAUGGCAUAAGCCAGCUUGACUGCGAGCGUGACGGCGCGAGCAGGUGCGAAAGCAGGUCAUAGUGAUCCGGUGGUUCUGAAUGGAAGGGCCAUCGCUCAACGGAUAAAAGGUACUCCGGGGAUAACAGGCUGAUACCGCCCAAGAGUUCAUAUCGACGGCGGUGUUUGGCACCUCGAUGUCGGCUCAUCACAUCCUGGGGCUGAAGUAGGUCCCAAGGGUAUGGCUGUUCGCCAUUUAAAGUGGUACGCGAGCUGGGUUUAGAACGUCGUGAGACAGUUCGGUCCCUAUCUGCCGUGGGCGCUGGAGAACUGAGGGGGGCUGCUCCUAGUACGAGAGGACCGGAGUGGACGCAUCACUGGUGUUCGGGUUGUCAUGCCAAUGGCACUGCCCGGUAGCUAAAUGCGGAAGAGAUAAGUGCUGAAAGCAUCUAAGCACGAAACUUGCCCCGAGAUGAGUUCUCCCUGACCCUUUAAGGGUCCUGAAGGAACGUUGAAGACGACGACGUUGAUAGGCCGGGUGUGUAAGCGCAGCGAUGCGUUGAGCUAACCGGUACUAAUGAACCGUGAGGCUUAACCUU
rnacentral:rRNA from 1 species